rnacentral:tRNA from 1 species
AUUACUAAAAAAUGGUGUAAAGGGUGCACAAGGGGUUUUGAUCCUCUGGGUAUAGGUUCAAAUCCUAUUUUUUU